rnacentral:lncRNA from 1 species
CUUGUUGUUGAUUUUUAAUAAUUGCCCUGGGAGGUUCCUAGUUGGGGGGUUUUUUCCCAUUCCCAAUCCCUCUAGGUCCUUUCCAUUAAACUAUCUCUUUUUUGGAGGUAGUUUUCUCUGUCAGAGAGUUCUCUUGAAUGGAAAUUUCCUCCACUUAUGUAGGACUCUAUCUCAGCCUUAAAAAAGAGCUGCCUUGCACAUUGAGAAGUUAAUUGACUUGUCUAUGAUUGUACUGUUAAUAUUUGCAAGAAGUAAGACUUUAACUUGGGAGUUCCUGAUUCUGAGGCCAGGUCUCCGUGCACUUUGCCAGAAGCUGAAAUUCAAACUGAAAAUUCGAAGAAAGCUCAAGAAGCCAGAAGCUCCUCUUCCAUCCAUUGAAAAGGCAAGAAAUAAACCAAUAAUACAUGUGAAGUCAUGCAAAACAUUUGUCCAUAUGAACUACUUUGCAACAGCAAAAGAAAAAAAGCUAAAAAAAAAGUGAUAAAAACAAUAUGCUUUAUUCUAUACCCAGAGUUCAUCAGUUCUCUCUCUGGAAUUGGAUGACAUUUUUUAAAAACUCUUGCCAUCGUCUUAGAACUGAUACUAACUGAUCAGUUCCAAGGCAAAAUAGCUAUAAGGGCUAGGCAAUGGGGGUUAAGUGACUAGCCCAG